rnacentral:tRNA from 1 species
UCCCAUGUGGCUCAGUUGGUAGAGCAUGGUGUUUGCAAUGCCAGGGUUGUGGGUUCGAUUUCCCACGGGGGAC